UACGGAGGGUGCAAACGUUGCUCGGAAUCAUUGGGCGUAAAGCGCGUGUAGGCGGCUUGUUAAGUUGAGUGUGAAAGCCCUGGGCUUAACCCAGGAAGUGCGCUCAAAACUGGCGAGCUAGAGUACGGGAGAGGGUAGUGGAAUUCCCGGUGUAGAGGUGAAAUUCGUAGAUAUCGGGAGGAACACCAGUGGCGAAGGCGGCUACCUGGACCGAUACUGACGCUGAGACGCGAAAGCGUGGGUAGCAAACAGG
rnacentral:rRNA from 1 species